AGCACCUCAGGUGAGCCGCUCAGGCUCGGCCACCGCCCUCCUCGCGCCGGGGGCGGGGCCGGGGCGGGGGCCAGGGGCGGAGCCUCCACGCCCCGCCCAACAGCCGGGCCCUGCCGCGCCGCUGCGGCUCCUCCCCCCUCCUUCCGUCCGCACUUCUUCCGUCGGUCCUUCCUUCCUGCCUGCCUGCCGCGCCCGCACGCUUCGAGGCAUGGGGCAGAGCCUCCGGCCGGCCCGCGCCACCUGAGGAUCCCGGAAGCCGCCCCCGCCAUGGAAGAGGACCAGGAGCUGGAGAGGAAAGCAAUAGAAGAGCUGCUGAAAGAGGCAAAACGUGGGAAAACAAGAGCAGAAACAAUGGGACCAAUGGGCUGGAUGAAGUGUCCUCUUGCUGGGACAAAUAAAAGAUUUCUAAUUAACACAAUUAAGAACACCCUGCCCUCCCACAAAGAGCAAGACCACGAACAAAAAGAGGACAGCAAGGAACCGGCGAAAAGCCAGAGCCAGAAGGAGGAAGGGCGCCAGAAGCACCGGUCUCACCCGUACAAGCACAGCGUCCACGCCCGGCGCUCGCCGCCUGGGAAGCGGGGGAAGCGGGGCGGCCACGAGAAGUCGCACACGAGGUCCAGCAAGCGGUGAGGUGGGGGCCCUGGGCCCAGCGAGACCCUCCCAGCGCCCCAGCCUGGGGUGGUGCGGAGACACCAGGACGGGUUUACAGCAGGGCCUCAGUCCUGACGGCGGACAGUCACCCGAGGCUCCACGAUGGAAGGAGCACAGUGACGUCCCGGCAGGUUUAAGCGGCUUCAGCAGUGUAAUAUACAUUCGUCUGGGUUUUCUUCUGUCUUGUUUGGAAGUUGGUUUCAAAAUAAAUCUAGAAUUUACAAGUUUUCGGAGAUUAUUAAAACUAGUUCCAGUUUUUGGUUUUGUUUUUUGAUGUGCUGCACUUGUGGUCUUUUCUCGGAAUUUCUCAAAACAGAAAGAUAGUUGUCAAUCCUGUACUUUUUAGGGGUGAUGAUUUUAGAAACCUGGCCAGUGACCAUAUUUAUGAAAAGCUGUAGCCCUUGUUUACCCGGAAAUUCUUGAGAGCUCUGUACCUGUUAACCUUUAAACGAACAACGUAGGAAAAUCUCAAAAUCCUUUUGAAUUUAGCGCCUCACCCCCUCCCCCAUUAAUAACCAGGGGUUAAAAAACUGUCUCUCUUCUUUCCUUGUGCAUUUUCAAACUCAUUCCUGAGAUAGAACACUUUUUCUGUAUUUCAUUUUGAGGGGAAUAUGUACGUUUUAAGUGGUGCUUUUAAAAGAACCUUCAAAAGUUAAAAUUACUAUUAUUUUUGUGCUAUGUCUUAUUUAGCUAAAGACCUACGAUGCCAUUCUUAGCUGUUGUACAGUUGUUUCAGAAAUCUGGAUUUUAAAUAAAAGUGUUUACAAUGCCUUUCUUCUGUUUUUUCAA